GAUUCCUACGGGGCGCAGCAGUGAGGAAUAUUGGUCAAUGGGCGGGAGCCUGAACCAGCCAAGCCGCGUGAAGGAAGAAGGCGCCAAGCGUCGUAAACUUCUUUUGUCGGGGAACAAAGGGCGCCACGUGUGGCGUUGUGAGUGUACCCGAAGAAAAAGCAUCGGCUAACUCCGUGCCAGCAGCCGCGGUAAUACGGAGGAUGCGAGCGUUAUCCGGAUUUAUUGGGUUUAAAGGGUGCGUAGGCGGCCUGCUAAGUCUGGAGUGAAAGGUACCGGCUCAACCGGUACAGGCUCUGGAAACUGGG
rnacentral:rRNA from 1 species